GACGUGACUUCAGAGUUUGAUCCUGGCUCGGGAUGAACGCUGGCGGCGUGCAUAACACAUUCAAGUCGAACGGAGUUAAAUUCAUUAAUCCUUCGGGAAGCGUGGAAAUAACUUAGUGGCGGACGGGUGAGUAACGCGUGAGCAACCUGCCUCUGUAUGAGGGAUAACGUCGGGAAACUGACGCUAAUACCUCAUGACACGUAGAGAACGCAUGUUUUUUACGUCAAAGAUUUAUUGUACAGAGAUGGGCUCGCGUCCGAUUAGAUAGUUGGUAAGGUAACGGCUUACCAAGUCUGCGAUCGGUAGCCGGACUGAGAGGUUGAACGGCCACAUUGGAACUGAGAUACGGUCCAG
rnacentral:rRNA from 1 species